rnacentral:lncRNA from 1 species
CAGGAAUCAUGGUAAUUGUCUUGCCCAAAGUAUCUUCCUUUAAUAUGGCAGAAAUAUUAGUGUGAAAGACAGAGGACUCUAAUCAGCAGGAGCAGGAAAUUUAAGAAAAACAGCAAAAGCAGACAUGAAGCGGAGGAACCACAGAGGAGCCAAAUUACAAGCAGUACCUGAAACACAUUCAUCACAGUCAAAAGGAAGUGAAGAGACACAGAAGGGAAGCAAGAUACUGAGAUGCUGCCAAGUAUCCCAGAGUCCAUGAUGGAGUAGAGAUGAAACAAUAGACCCAGGUCAUUCCUCUGCUGGAGGUUCUGAGGCAAGCAGUAGUGCUCUGCAGAUGAACAUUCAUGACAACUUGCCUUUCAACUGGAGGUGUGUGACAG